GUUCACGGAUGCCCAGGGGAGGUGCCGGAGGGCAGAGUGUGGCUGCGAGGUCCCCACGUCCACACGGAGAGCCCUCAGACCCCGUAGGUGGCUGAGUCGCUGAGGAAGAUGAGAGCCGGGUUGCUUCUGUAGAAUUGGGUCUGGCCGGGGCUCUGGACAUGGGCUGCACGUUCAUAACUCCUGGGAGGCUUAAAACAUUCCGGACGCGCAAGGUGGACGGCAGACGCACUCAAUCAGAACCCGUGGAGGGAGUGGGUGGUGCUCAGCCACAUUCCUGGUCUGUACCCAGCAGAUACCGGCAGCAUCCUGCCUGCCUGUGACAACCCCCCACCUGGACCCCAACUCUGCAUUUAGAGCCACCCCCACUCCAUGUGGCGAUGGCUCAGGGAAGAGAGGACACGGCAGCCACUUGUUUUCACUUGGUGGCUUUGAAGCCGCUGCUCUACCGACCGGGAGGCUCACAGCUUGGUACCCCGCCUGCGGGGCCCUGACCCAGAACGGGCCUUACCUACUCAGGACACCCUUGCUGGCUGUGGUGUACGACAGAGUUAUCAGCGGGGCCAGUGGAAACCCGAAACCUCCUGUCCCCUUGCAGCAGUGACAGCCACCUCUGUCCCCCUCCCUGUGCUCCAGGCACAGCUCACGGCAGCCUUGUCCAUGUGCUGGCUCAUUGACAAUGGAUGGGUAUGAGUGCCCCGUUAUCCGAGAUCAGGCACCUGAGGCACAGGGCGUUUCAGUGUCCUGCACACAUCCCAUCACGAAGCCUCUAUGACAUCAGCGUUGCCGAUGGAUGCCCAUCUCCUCCGCCCUCCCUGCCGGGAGCACAUCUGCGUGCUGCUCGCCGCUAUGUCUCAGCGUCUAGCACAGUCCUCGGUGCGUGUCCGGAACUCGUCACCUUUCGUCUCAUUCGAUGGGAUCAUACGACGUUGCUUUGUCCACUUCAUCACACCUAACAGUGGUCUGCACAGACUAGUUGUUUGAAGAUAGUUGUCAAAUGGUUACAUGUUUGGUCAAUCAAUAUGUUUUCAACGGAGUGUCCUUACAGUUGACUAUCAGAAAUGACUAUAAAAAUGCUUUUAUUACUGUAUGUUGAUGACUCCAAUUAAAAGCUUUUCCCUAAGCA